CCGGGUCCUGGUCCAAGUUAAGCAAUCUAUACAGUGAAACUGCGAAUGGCUCAUUAAAUCAGUUAUCGUUUAUUUGAUGGUACCUUACUACUUGGAUAACCGUGGUAAUUCUAGAGCUAAUACAUGCUAAAAAUCCCAACUUCGGAAGGGAUGUAUUUAUUAGAUAAAAAACCAAUGCCUUCUGGCUCCUUGGUGAUUCAUAAUAACUAAACGAAUCGCAUGGCCUUGCGCCGGCGAUGGUUCAUUCAAAUUUCUGCCCUAUCAACUUUCGAUGGUAGGAUAGUGGCCUACCAUGGUUUCAACGGGUAACGGGGAAUUAGGGUUCUAUUCCGGAGAGGGAGCCUGAGAAACGGCUACCACAUCCAAGGAAGGCAGCAGGCGCGCAAAUUACCCAAUCCCGACGCGGGGAGGUAGUGACAAUAAAUACUGAUACAGGGCUCUUUUGGGUCUUGUAAUUGGAAUGAGUACAAUUUAAAUCCCUUAACGAGGAACAAUUGGAGG
rnacentral:rRNA from 1 species